UACGUAGGGAGCAAGCGUUGUCCGGAAUCAUUGGGCGUAAAGAGCGUGUAGGCGGUCCGGUAAGUCCGUUGUGAAAGUCGAGGGCUCAACCCUCGAAUGCCGGCGGAUACUGUCGGACUAGAGUCCGGAAGAGGCGAGUGGAAUUCCUGGUGUAGCGGUGAAAUGCGCAGAUAUCAGGAGGAACACCGAUGGCGAAGGCAGCUCGCUGGGACGGUACUGACGCUGAGACGCGAAAGUGUGGGGAGCGAACAGG
rnacentral:rRNA from 1 species